rnacentral:rRNA from 1 species
GACGAACGCUGGCGGCGUGCUUAACACAUGCAAGUCGAACGAAGUGGCGAACGGGUGAGUAACGCGUAAACAACCUGCCCUUCAGAGGGGGAUAACAGGUGGAAACGACUGCUAAUACAGCCAACUGAAGGAGGGGAUUGCGUCUGAUGAGCUAGUUGGAGGGGUAACGGCCCACCAAGGCGAUGAUCAGAAGCCGGGCUGGGAGGAGUAACGUGCACAUGUGGAAUGGGACACGGCCCAGACUCCUACGGGAGGCAGCCGUGAGGAAUCUUCCGCAAUGGACGAAAGUCUGACGGAGCAACGCCGCGUGAAUGAUGACGGCUUUCGGGUUGUAAAGCUCUGUUAAUCGGGACGCGGUACCGAAAUAGAAAGCCACGGCUAACUACGUGCCAGCAGCCGCGGUAAUUC